rfam:Schistosoma curassoni strain Dakar, Senegal genome assembly, scaffold: SCTD_scaffold0002016
AUCCAGCUGAUGAGUCCCGAAUAGGACGAAACGUGCGUCCUGGAU